AGAUCUGUGUUCUCUUCUUAUAAGGAGACUCUCCCUUAUUAUCCAAUAUGCAACCUUUUCGAUCAAUUCAGGAGAUAUUGCUGCUUGAUCAAUGAGACUUAUCUCCUUCACGUGCAUCUCACAUGUAUAGGUUGACAAACAAUGUGCUUCACCUGAUGGACUUGGUCCAUGACUGAGUUCCUAUUUCAUUCUUCAAAACUACACCUGUUCUUGGGCCGACAAAUUUCCCCUUUUGAUGAUGACAAAAUCUGUGCUUUUUACUGAUCAAAGACCCUGUAAGAACUCAGCUUACACCCUGUAAGAACUCGGCUUAGACCAUGUAAGAACUCAGC
rnacentral:lncRNA from 1 species